CCUACGGGAGGCAGCAGUAGGGAAUAUUGGUCAAUGGACGCAAGUCUGAACCAGCCAUGCCGCGUGAAGGAUGAAGGCCCCAUGGGUCGUAAACUUCUUUUAUUAGGGAAGAAAAAGCGGGAUGCGUCCUGUACUGACGGUACUUAAUGAAUAAGGAUCGGCUAACUUCGUGCCAGCAGCCGCGGUAAGACGAAGGAUCCAAGCGUUGUCCGGAUUUACUGGGUUUAAAGGGUGCGUAGGCGGAAAAUUAAGUCAGUGGUGAAAGCCCGCAGCUCAACUGUGGAACUGCCAUUGAAACUGGUUUUCUUGAAUAUAGCUGAGGCAGAUGGAAUAUAACCUGUAGCGGUGAAAUGCUUAGAUAUGUUAUAGAACACCGAUUGCGAAGGCAGUCUGCUAAACUAUUAUUGACGCUGAGGCACGAAAGCGUGGGGAGCGAACAGGAUUAGAUACCCUGGUAGUCCACGCCCUAAACGUUGAUUACUCGCUGUUGGCGAUAUACUGUCAGUGGCUAAGCGAAAGCGUUAAGUAAUCCACCUGGGAAGUACGACCGCAAGGUUGAAACUCAAAUGAAUUGACGG
rnacentral:rRNA from 1 species